UACGUAGGGGGCAAGCGUUAUCCGGAUUCACUGGGCGUAAAGGGAGCGCAGGCGGCAUGGUAAGUCUGAUGUGAAAACCCGGGGCCCAACCCCGGGAGUGCAUUGGAAACUGCCAGGCUGGAGUGUCGGAGGGGUAAGCGGAAUUCCUAGUGUAGCGGUGAAAUGCGUAGAUAUUAGGAGGAACACCAGUGGCGAAGGCGGCUUACUGGACGACUACUGACGCUGAGGCUCGAAAGCGUGGGGAGCAAACAGG
rnacentral:rRNA from 1 species